rnacentral:rRNA from 1 species
GAACGCUGGCGGCGUGCCUAAUACAUGCAAGUCGAGCGAACAGACGAGGAGCUUGCUCCUUUGACGUUAGCGGCGGACGGGUGAGUAACACGUAGGUAACCUACCUAUAAGACUGGGAUAACUUCGGGAAACCGGAGCUAAUACCGGAUAAUAUUUCGAACCGCAUGGUUCGAUAGUGAAAGAUGGCUUUGCUAUCACUUAUAGAUGGACCUGCGCCGUAUUAGCUAGUUGGUAAGGUAACGGCUUACCAAGGCAACGAUACGUAGCCGACCUGAGAGGGUGAUCGGCCACACUGGAACUGAGACACGGUCCAGACUCCUACGGGAGGCAGCAGUAGGGAAUCUUCCGCAAUGGGCGAAAGCCUGACGGAGCAACGCCGCGUGAGUGAUGAAGGUCUUCGGAUCGUAAAACUCUGUUAUUAGGGAAGAACAAACGUGUAAGUAACUGUGCACGUCUUGACGGUACCUAAUCAGAAAGCCACGGCUAACUACGUG